rnacentral:sRNA from 1 species
AACGCAGAGAAAGGAGGUGAUCCAGUGUCUAGAGUGAUAUUGGAGAGAGGUGUCGGGACAGUCAGGGGGGCCGUGGCCUAAGGGCAGACCCAUGGGUUAAGAACCCUGACUGGGCCUUGUCGAUCUUCGACACCCUAACUGGCCCAUCUCCGUAGAUCUCGAAGGGCUGCUCCCACCCGGAGCAGCCCU